rnacentral:rRNA from 1 species
AAUUAGUUUUUUAAUUGGAAAAUAGAAUGAAUGAUUUUAUUAAAUUAUAUCUUAUUAAUUUAUAGUUCUUAAAUUUUUAUUUUUAGUUAAAAUACUAAAAUAUUUUAGUUAGACAAAAAGACCCUAUGAAGCUGUAAAUAUUUUAAUUUUUUAAUAUAUGGAAAUAUAUUUAUUUUUUGGGGUAAAGAGUAAUGUAUUUAUUACAAUUCAAUAUUUUUUAAUUCUAUCCUUUUGGAAUUGUGAAGUAGCUCCUCUAGGGAUAACAGCAUAAUAUUUAUAAAAGUUCAUAUUUAACUAAAUGU